CCUACGGGAGGCAGCAGUAGGGAAUUUUUCACAAUGGGCGAAAGCCUGAUGGAGCAACGCCGCGUGCAGGAUGAAGGCCUUCGGGUUGUAAACUGCUUUUAUAAGCGAGAAAUAUGAUGGUAACUUAUGAAUAAGGAUCGGCUAACUACGUGCCAGCAGCCGCGGUCAUACGUAGGAUCCGAGCAUUAUCCGGAGUGACUGGGUGUAAAGAGUUGCGUAGGUGGCAUAAUAAGUAGCUAGUGAAAUCUGGUGGCUCAACCAUUCAGACUAUUAGCUAAACUGUUAAACUCGAGACCGUUAGGGGUAACUGGAAUUUCUAGUGUAGGAGUGAAAUCCGUAGAUAUUAGAAGGAACACCAAUAGCGUAGGCAGGUUGCUGGGACGGUUCUGACACUAAGGCACGAAAGCGUAGGGAGCAAACGGGAUUAGAUACCCGAGUAGUC
rnacentral:rRNA from 1 species